CCGGUCAGUCUAGUUGUUAUCGACGAUAUAACGUUACUACCACUAUGUCGCAGUUUUUUUACUAGGGGUCUUCAGGACUUGCCUCAAAUUAAUAUUAAUGAUGUACAUCAAAUUGUUAAAUCAGCCUCAGAGACUCCAGCUAGCAAGAAUGAAAAGGGGUUCAAGAUGUAUAUAGGAAGCUACAUAGACAACUAUGAAGGGUGUGAAACCAGGUCCGAUUGAUGGGAUAGAGUUCCGUAAACCUACUAACUCGUAUGCUGAUGGAAUAAGAAGUUCUCUCUACAAAGCACUCAAUGGAUACAUGCCUGACAUGGACCUUCUCCGCGUCUCAGAAACGUAUGCCAACUUUUCUCCACUUUACUGCCCCUCGUGACAACAAUGGAAAUGUCAGCUGACGUGCCCCUGGUUGAGUCUGCCUUUGGGCCAGUGCAAGCCAGCAGUGUUCUGUCCUAUCAGCUUCCACAGCCAAAGACCUGUUACAUUGUGAAGAUUGACAAUUCCACUUCUCCACCAAUACUUCCAUUAGAUGGCUACAGGCUUCAGGCUUCCCAGUGUGCUGAAGCCAUCAGGAGCAGUUACACCUCAAGGCAUUAGAGACAACCUACGAGAUGUCACACAAAGUCGAGGUUGCUACAAGGGAGCAGAGCAGCAGCCCAGAAUGGCAUCAGCUCAGGAAAAUAAGAAUAUCAUCCUCUCAUUUCCGAGAGGAUUGCCAUGUCCAGGGAGACACCUCAGGUGACCACCUAGCUGAGCGGAUGUUCAAGGGAUCUGGUAUGCAGACCAUGGAGAUGAAGGGGGCUAGCCAUGGAGCCAGUGGCUGUACAGGGAUCUGGAAUACAGACCAUGGAGAUGAAGAGGGCUAGCCAUGGAGCCAGUGGCUGUACAGGAGUACUGCACACUGAAGAAUGUUAACAUCUUUCCGUGUGGCUUCGCAGUGCACCCAGAUGCUCCGUGGUUAGGAUCCUCUCCAGAUGGAAUCAUAUUUGAUCCCAGUGUGAGACCAAACUUUGGACUCUUAGAGGUCAAGUGCCCAAAGGUACCAAGUUAUGUUGACGGCCCUUACCUGAAGAUACAGAAUGGAGAGCUGAAGUUGAAGAGAUCUCAUGCU